UACGUAGGGUGCGAGCGUUAAUCGGAAUUACUGGGCGUAAAGCGUGCGCAGGCGGUUGGCCGUGUCCGAUGUGAAAGCCCCGGGCUUAACCUGGGAAUGGCAUUGGAAACUGGCUGGCUGGAGUGUGGCAGAGGGGGGUGGAAUUCCGCGUGUAGCAGUGAAAUGCGUAGAGAUGCGGAGGAACACCGAUGGCGAAGGCAGCCCCCUGGGCUGACACUGACGCUCAGGCACGAAAGCGUGGGGAGCAAACAGG
rnacentral:rRNA from 1 species